GCCCAGGUGGAUCAACGGCAGAUCGUCCUUUUCAACAUAGUGGCGUAAUGCUCGAGAAGAUCCAGGGGAAGGUGGAGGUUUGAGUCCUCUCCUGGGCA